rnacentral:lncRNA from 1 species
CCCAUCUCAGUUACGAAGGACUGGCAGCAAGUAGAAGAUGCAGAGAAAAUGAAUAAGAAAAUCUUACUCUCUUUCCCACUGCAAGUUUCCAAGCCCUUGCUCACAGACCUGGGUUAGAGACAUGAAAGAAGCUUUGAAUUAGAUAUCUUACUGAGGUUUUAAAUUAGAUUAUGUGGAAUUUAUUUUUCAUUUGUUUAUUAAAUAAUAUAUGCACAUAGUAAAGUUUUUAAAGAUACAGCUAAGUAUAUGUCAAAUUGUAUGUUGCUUUUACAUUCUGGUCAUAGAGACACUCAAUUGCCCUCCUAUGAGGAAACCAUUUUUAAAAGCAAUGAGACUAGAAUCAGGAGGGCGGAGCGAGAUGGCCAAAUAGGAACAGCUCCAGUCUCCAACUCCCAGCGCGACCAACACAGAGGACCGGUGAUUUCCGCAUUUUCAACUGAGCGAUAA